rnacentral:lncRNA from 1 species
AUAUAUAUAUAUAUAUAUAUAUAUAUAUAUAUAUAUAUAUAUAUAUAUAUAUAUAUAUGGAUGUCGUGUAGUAAUUUUUUUUUUUUUUUUGUUUUUUUUAAAUGUGUACAUGGAACUUCGCCUGUUAUGGUACCUUGUUGCAAUUUUUAGUUUCCCUAACGGGAUAAUAAAGCUGAGUCUGAGUCUAAACUUUUUUUUUUCCCAAUAUUUUUGCAUGAUUUUCCACUAAAUUCUGAAGUCUUUCCAGUUCUCCUUUCUGCAAGAGUUUUUGCUGUGGUGGUAGGAAGUCUGUUUCUAAAGACAAUCGCCUACUGCAACUUUAAUAAACUGUUUUUUUUUUUUUUUUUUUUUUUUUUUUUUUUAAUCUCUCUCUCUCCUUCUGUCUCAAGAGAUGCGUCAACUUUAGGGGAUGACACCACGCUUAAAAGAGGUGAGAAAAUGAGAAACAGCUUGACCGCUUCUUGAAGUUCUUUUGGUCUGAUAAGACUGAUCCUGAAGAUCUACUUAUCUGAUGAAGAGCUGGACCUUUCCCUUGAGGAAACAGUGGAAGUCAAACUUAAGACAUUGGAAACCUUUGCUGCAGGAACUGAGGGAGAGGCUGGAAAGGAACAGUGGGGCUGAAGACCCAGGUAACCUGGAGAGUGACUCAUCCCUAUUGAAGGCGGAAGGAGUUAGGCGAGCUGUGUGGACAGGACUGUGCCAGACAGAUGCCUUCAACUUCAGGGGAUGA